CAGCUUUGCCAAUACCUACAUACAAUGGCACUGAUAUAUUAUAGGAAAGUCCAAACUUUCUAGCUCCAUGCAAAACAUGGAAAAUUAAAAGCUUUGCUAGAAUUAUAACACUGCUUAUGAGAGACAAACAUGAUUGGCCUGAAGAAAUGUUUUUGGUUUUUGAUUUUUU